UACGAAGGGUGCAAGCGUUACUCGGAAUUACUGGGCGUAAAGCGUGCGUAGGUGGUUCGUUAAGUCUGUCGUGAAAUCCCCGGGCUUAACCUGGGAAUGGCGAUGGAGACUGCAAGGCUAGAGUUUGGCAGAGGGGGGUAGAAUUCCACGUGUAGCAGUGAAAUGCGUAGAGAUGUGGAGGAACACCGAUGGCGAAGGCAGCCCCCUGGGUCAAAACUGACGCUCAUGCACGAAAGCGUGGGGAGCAAACAGG
rnacentral:rRNA from 1 species